rnacentral:rRNA from 1 species
CACGUAGGGCGCAAGCGUUUGUCCGGAAUUAUUGGGCGUAAAGAGCUCGUAGGUGGUUUGUUACGUCUGCUGUGAAAUCCUAGGGCUUAACCCUGGGCUUGCAGUGGAUACGGGCAGACUAGAGGUAGGUAGGGGAGAAUGGAAUUCCUGGUGUAGCGGUGAAAUGCGCAGAUAUCAGGAGGAACACCAAUGGCGAAGGCAGCACUCUGGGACGUGACUGACGCUGAGACGCGAAAGCGUGGGGAGCAAACAGG